UGGUUCUGGCAUCGAUGAAGAACGCAGCGAAAUGCGAUAAGUAAUGUGAAUUGCAGAAUUCAGUGAAUCAUCGAAUCUUUGAACGCACAUUGCGCCCGCCAGUAUUCUGACGGGCAUGCCUGUUCGAGCGUCAUUUCAAACCUCAAGCUUUCGCGGCUUGGCCUUGGGGCAUCUGCAGCAAAGGCUCUCCUGAAUCUAGCUGAGUCUUGCAGGCCCUUAAAACCGACGGCAGACCUGUUAGGCCUCUGAGCGUAGUAAAUUUCUUCUCGCUUCUGUGACCUGAUGGGGUUUCUUGCCUCACCUUUGUCCUCUUUUUGUCUAUGGAAUUUCACGAGCCCAUAGUUGAGAGGGGUGCAAAAAUCUCCCAAAGUUUGACCUCGGAUCAGGUAGGAAUACCCGCUGA
rnacentral:misc_RNA from 1 species